UAGAGAUAGAGCUUCCUCAGAAUUGGCACCUAAACAAUGAUUUCUUGGGAUUUGCCUUAUACUGUGUUUAUGCUCCAGUUCCCUCUAACCUUGAGGCCAUGAUUAGAAAAGGAUUUCUGAAUAUAUCUGAGAAAAGAUCCAUUUUUGGAUCUCUCUUUGGUUUUUAUUUAGAAGUAAACUGUGGCAUGGCUAGCCAUGGUGAUGAAUUCCAAUCCAAGGAUAUUCUCUCAUUUUCAUCUGAUUGUGAAUGCUGCCAGGAUUUUGAUUUUGAUGGUGGUCUAUCAUGGGUAGUAUGUUAUCCCAAGGUUUCUAUUCAGGAGAAGUAUGGGACGCACUUCAAGGCUUCAUUUCUGGGCUGCUAUUUUGGUAAAUUGAAAAACUUUGAGGUGAUAGAAUGUGGGGUCCAUGUUAUAUACGCCUAAGAUCUUCAUCCACCAACAGAUGUGGAUCUUAGCUGCUAGGAAUGCCAAUCUUUGUUCACGAUCAACUUUCCAAGCUGAGAAUGCUCAACUUGACUCACUGCCCCAAGCUUCUAUGAAGUUAAUUUAUGGCUUCCGUCAAGUCUACUUGGUUUCCUUUCUCUUUCAAAAUGCUCCUAAUGAUCAGCAAUUUAGGAGUUUGAAUGCGGGUCGUAUCAGAGCGAGGGAAUUAAGAAGUAUUGCUUAAAUAAAUGGUGGCUGUUACUUUGGUGGUAAACCAUACAAAGUGGAGAAUGUGGAUUCCUCUUAUGUAUGCUCGUCCCACAAUGAUCAUACCACUGGUAAUGUAAAGAGAAGUUACGAUGAUGUAGAACACAACUUAACCAGAAGAGAUUCAAAGGAACCCAACACUUGGCUUCGGGCUCCACCACACUUGCAUCAGCAAUGCUUUGUUUAUUUUUGACAGGUUGAGGGGAGUAAAGAUCUGUGUGUGUAUCUGAAUUCUUUGAAGAACAAGUCAACCACUCCAACUAGUGCAUGCCGACAUAUGUGGUUCAAUGCAAAUGUUAUCUCACAACAAAAGUAGUUCUCAUUUUUUUGUUGAUGAUUUCAAUAGAGGACCUGGAAGAACAUGGAACAGGAACACAAAGCUCCCUCAUCUGAUACGAAGCUCCAGAAGACCGGAUAUUUGUCGCAUUAUUGAAUGUGCUUGUGAAGCUGAAUACAAGGUAGGAUUGGAGCUUUGUGCAUAACAAAAUGCUAAACACUUGCAUCAUCUGGGAACAGCAAGCACUAGUUAAUUGAAAUCUGUUACAUCAACAGAUUAAGUCUCUGAAAUCGUAAAUGGCUGCCUUGGGCCAGUAAUCUUUGUCAGUGCCGACUCCUUCAACCAAACCUUUCUUUUAUUGUGUCUUUCUUUCUCAAGCGCUUGGAGUUCAUUGACUCCAUGAGCCACCAGAGCUGCAGAGAUAUCAUGAGCUUCAUAAUUCUCCUCUACAAUGGCAAUGCUAUGGGAUCAUGCAUGUCUUCUCUCUUCAAACUAUUUAUACUGUUAAGAAGCUUUUUACUACUUCACUUCAUCCUUCAAUAUCAUUCAAAUGUUUUUUGGAACAGGUUGUGGAUUCAUUUGAUUGAUGGGGUUUUGAACCAAUAUGAGUGUAAAGGCAUCGGGGUUCAACAACAUCCAAUUUGAUUGGGCUCAUGGCUCAGCCCAUGCUCACACUACCAUAUUCUAAGAUUGUGAGGCCUCAAAAAAGCUUUAGGAAACCUACAUGUCCUGUGUGUCUUUUUCAGGGUGAACUAUUUUUUCUUAAGGAUUUUUUAUUAUAUGUAUUUGUAAUGCUAAAUUACAAUUUAGUGUAACACUUUGGUGUAGU